UGGGGAAUAUUGCACAAUGGGGGAAACCCUGAUGCAGCGACGCCGCGUGAGCGAAGAAGGUUUUCGAAUCGUAAAGCUCUGUCCUAUGGGAAGAUAAUGACGGUACCAUAGGAGGAAGCCCCGGCUAACUACGUGCCAGCAGCCGCGGUAAUACGUAGGGGGCAAGCGUUGUCCGGAAUCACUGGGCGUAAAGGGUUCGCAGGCGGAAAUGCAAGUCAGUUGUGAAAGGCAGUAGCUUAACUACUGUAAGCAUUUGAAACUGCAUAUCUUGAGAAGAGUAGAGGUAAGUGGAAUUUUUAGUGUAGCGGUGAAAUGCGUAGAUAUUAAAAAGAAUACCGGUGGCGAAGGCGACUUACUGGGCUCAUUCUGACGCUGAGGAACGAAAGCGUGGGUAGCAAACAGG
rnacentral:rRNA from 2 species